CCUGACUGCUAUCGGAUUGAUACUAAGCCAUGUGAGUCAUUGCAGCAAUGCAAGGCAGACGGCUCAGUAACACGUAGUCAACCUACCCUAUAGACGGGGAUAACCUCGGGAAACUGAGGAUAAACCCCGAUAGAUCAUUAUGCCUGGAACGGUUUAUGGUCCAAAUGAUUCGUCGCUAUAGGAUGGGACUGCGGCCUAUCAGUUUGUUGGUGAGGUAAUGGCCCACCAAGACUAUUACAGGUACGGGCUCUGAGAGGAGUGGCCCGGAGAUGGGUACUGAGACACGGACCCAGGCCCUAUGGGGCGCAGCAGGCGAGAAAACUUUGCAAUGUGCGAAAGCACGACAAGGUUAAUCCGAGUGGUUUCUGCUAAAGGAACCUUUUGUUAGUCCUAGAAACACUAACGAAUAAGGGGUGGGCAAGUUCUGGUGUCAGCCGCCGCGGUAAAACCAGCACCUCAAGUGGUCAGGAUGAUUAUUGGGCCUAAAGCAUCCGUAGCCGGCUCAGUAAGUUUUCGGUUAAAUCCAUUAGCUCAACUAAUGGCCUGCCGAAAAUACUGCAGAGCUAGGAAGUGGGAGAGGCAGACGGUACUCGGCAGGAAGGGGUAAAAUCCUUUGAUCUAUUGAUGACCACCUGUGGCGAAGGCGGUCUACCAGAACACGUUCGACGGUGAGGGAUGAAAGCUGGGGGAGCAAACCGGAUUAGAUACCCGGGUAGUCCCAGCUGUAGACGAUGCAGACUCGGUGAUGCGCUGGCUUGUGGCCAGUGCAGUGCCGCAGGGAAGCCGUUAAGUUUGCCGCCUGGGAAGUACGUACGCAAGUAUGAAACUUAAAGGAAUUGGCGGGGGAGCACCACAAGGGGUGAAGCCUGCGGUUC
rnacentral:rRNA from 1 species